rnacentral:rRNA from 1 species
UGGAAGUAAAAAGUCGUAACAAGGUCUCCGUUGGUGAACCAGCGGAGGGAUCAUUACAGAGUUGUCAAAACUCCCAAACCCAUGUGAACCUACCUCGCGUUGCCUCGGCAGGCGGCGUCCCACCCUGGAAGACCUACCCCGUAGGAGGCCUAUCCGGGGGCGGGCGACCCUGCCGAAGGCCCCCCCAAACUCUGUCUUCUACAGCAUUGGACCUCUGAAAAGAUGACUAAAUCAGUUAAAACUUUCAACAACGGAUCUCUUGGUUCUGGCAUCGAUGAAGAACGCAGCGAAAUGCGAUAAGUAAUGUGAAUUGCAGAAUUCAGUGAAUCAUCGAAUCUUUGAACGCACAUUGCGCCCGCCAGCAUUCUGGCGGGCAUGCCUGUUCGAGCGUCAUUUCAACCCUUAAGCCCUGUUGCUUAGCGUUGGGAGCCUACCGGGAGCCCCCGGUAGCUCCCCAAAGUCAGUGGCGGAGCCGGCUCGCGCCCCAGACGUAGUAGCCCCUUACACGUCGCCUGCGGUGCGUGCCCGGCCCCCUGCCGUAAAACCCCCCCAAUUUCUUUCAGGUUGACCUCGGAUCAGGUAGGAAUACCCGCUGAACUUAAGCAUAUCAAUAAGCGGAGGAA